UUCUUACAGUUGUACAUGGAAACUGAUGAAAAUUGGAACAGCGUUUUCAGAUGCGGAGGACGACAGUAUCGAGAAGAAGACAUAGGCGCGGAAGACAAGAAAAUCAAGAGGGAAAAGUCAGGGCUGUAAGUGUGUUAGUUGCUAUCAUGCAUCAAAUCUAUCAAGUUUGUGUCUCUUUUAGAACAACGAUCCCUACCAUGGUCAGUCAACGUUU